rnacentral:rRNA from 1 species
AAUUUUUUCCCCUUUUUUUUAAAAGUUAAUUUUUGGAAGGCCUUAUAUAGAUUUUUUCCCCUCUGCUCAGGACGAACGCCGGGCGGCGUGCUUAAACACAUGCAAGUCGAGCGGUAAGGCCCUUUCGGGGUACACGAGCGGCGAACGGGUGAGUAACACGUGGGUGAUCUGCCCUGCACUUCGGGAUAAGCCUGGGAAACUGGGUCUAAUACCGGAUAUGACCUCCUAUCGCAUGGUGGGUGGUGGAAAGAUUUAUCGGUGCAGGAUGGGCCCGCGGCCUAUCAGCUUGUUGGUGGGGUAAUGGCCUACCAAGGCGACGACGGGUAGCCGACCUGAGAGGGUGACCGGCCACACUGGGACUGAGACACGGCCCAGACUCCUACGGGAGGCAGCAGUGGGGAAUAUUGCACAAUGGGCGAAAGCCUGAUGCAGCGACGCCGCGUGAGGGAUGACGGCCUUCGGGUUGUAAACCUCUUUCAGCAGGGACGAAGCGCAAGUGACGGUACCUGCAGAAGAAGCACCGGCUAACUACGUGCCAGCAGCCGCGGUAAUACGUAGGGUGCAAGCGUUGUCCGGAAUUACUGGGCGUAAAGAGUUCGUAGGCGGUUUGUCGCGUCGUUUGUGAAAACCAGCAGCUCAACUGCUGGCUUGCAGGCGAUACGGGCAGACUUGAGUACUGCAGGGGAGACUGGAAUUCCUGGUGUAGCGGUGAAAUGCGCAGAUAUCAGGAGGAACACCGGUGGCGAAGGCGGGUCUCUGGGCAGUAACUGACGCUGAGGAACGAAAGCGUGGGUAGCGAACAGGAUUAGAUACCCUGGUAGUCCACGCCGUAAACGGUGGGCGCUAGGUGUGGGUUCCUUCCACGGAAUCCGUGCCGUAGCUAACGCAUUAAGCGCCCUCGCCUGGAGACCCGAACGGA